rnacentral:misc_RNA from 1 species
AAAGAAUUAAAUAUGAGAAUGAGGUGUUUAUCAGUGCUAUCGUACAAGUUAAGAGCAGAAAGUCCUUUAGAACAAAUACAUCCACCAAAAAGAAUAUGAAAUCAUGCUUACAAACAAUGCUAAAGUUACGGCAGAAAACUGUGCACAUCUAUGAGUGCAUAGUAAAUUCAAAGAUAAGGAGAUAUUUACACUUUUUAUGACUUCUUAUUCAAAAUCAUUUUGUUCACAAUUCAUCCACCGAUAAUUUUCCCAUUUUGUGGAAACAAAAGAAAAGGAUUAGGCAACUCAACAUACAUGGUAAAUAUACUAGUAAUUUGUAAGAAGAAAACAUACUGCAUUCAUGCAAAUCUGUUCAACUAAAUGAAGUUAAUAAAGAAUGGGGGCAUCAUGUCACAUCAGAUCAAAAGUCAGAAUCUAUUCAGAUGGCGCAUAUUGAGUUAUAUAUACUGAAAAGCACAACUGAAAACACUUUCCCUAAUACUCAAAUUCAUUUAUUACAUAAAAUCAUAAUAUAUUCGCAACUGGCCCAUUAGUCCAGGUUUGCUUGCAGUGUGCAAAAACAUAUAACAAUAAGCAUCAGAACUUUCCUGCUAGUGUUUAACAUUCUAACAUAAAAGGCAUCAUCUCCCACUUUUAACCAUUCAAAAACUUCUUGGAAGCUUUUUUAUGACUUCAAGGACUCUCAUUAUUGAAGCAAGCAGAGAUGACCUGCAAAAUUUUAUCGUUCUACUAGUUCACAGCGAACCUUGCCUUAAGAUCCAUGGUGAUUAUGCAAGUGGUUAACUUGCUAAAAGCUCCACUUCAUCAUGGUUAUUGCUUUAUUGGACAAAGACUAGAGAAAACCCAGAUGAGCAAAUUAUUAUCCACAUAAAGCUGAUCAAAAUCAGAUUCCCCUUCCUUUCAUUAUAGGAAUAAAUAUUAUCAGCUAUUACAAUGAUUGGAUAUAAAGAGCACAGCCUUGAAUCCAUUGGCCACUGAGAGUAAUACUAACAGUCUAAGUGCUCCUUGUCCAUCACAUAAUUGAGGAGAUAACCCAUGAUUCAAAUCCAAUGACUAUAAUUAUACUUCAAAAAUUGCAACUAUAACACUACAAACUACCAUUUUCUUUCCACGGAUCCUCCAAACACACCCAUUUCCAGAAAAUAAGAGGCCAUUAAUUAAUUCAAGUACAUUGCAUGAGUCACUGGCUAAUAGAAUAAACUUGUAAUAAACGAGAAGCGGCACAGAAAGUUACAAAACCAAAACAGUACCAAAACGCGAGCAUUUAAUUUCAUGGGUAAACAAAGAAUUCACCUUGCAUAGAACAUGCCUUCAGA